rnacentral:rRNA from 1 species
UAAACAUUGACAGUUAAUUACACCCACUGUCCGCCUGGGAACUACGAGCACCAGCUUAAAACCCAAAGGACUUGGCGGUGCUUUAGACCCACCUAGAGGAGCCUGUUCUAGAACCGAUAAUCCCCGUUAAACCUCACCCUUCCUUGUCAUUUCCGCCUAUAUACCACCGUCGUCAGCUUACCCUGUGAAGGCCUAAUAGUAAGCGCAAUCGGCAAUGCCCAAAACGUCAGGUCGAGGUGUAGCGAAUGGAAGGGGAAGAAAUGGGCUACAUUUACUAACACAGUAAAUACGGAUGAUUACCCUGCAACGAGUAUCUGAAGGAGGAUUUAGCAGUAAGCAAAAAGCAGAGUGUUUUGCUGAAAUUGGC